rnacentral:lncRNA from 1 species
CAUGGAGGACGUGUGCGAGGAGUUCUUCCAGCUGCCGGCGGCGGACAAGGCGUACAUGUACUCGGAGGAUAGGCACAAGCCCAACCGGAUCUUCUCCGGCACCACCUACGAGACCGGCGGCGAGAAGUACUGGCGGGACUGCCUCCGCCUUGCCUGCCCGUUCCCCAUCGGCGACGGCACAAAGGACUGGCCCCACACGCCCCAGAGGCUCCGGUACGUAUACCAAUUAGGCAAUUCACAAUUCAUGUAUACAUAUAUAUAAAUACAUGCUCUGUCACCAUCAGUGUGUAUAUGUGUGUGUAACCUAGCUAGCUUCAUUCUUUGACCCCACCUAACCUAACAUGCCUGCAGUGGGGUUAUCGAGAACUUCACCACACUGACGAGGGGAGUCGGGAUGGAGCUGCUGCAGCUGCUGUGCGAGGCCAUGGGGCUCCGGCCUGACUACUUCGAGGGCGACAUCAGCGGCGGCGACGUUAUCCUCAACAUCAACCACUACCCUACAUGCCCCAACCCGAGCAAGACGCUGGGCCUGCCGCCGCACUGCGACCGCAACCUCAUCACCCUCCUCCUCCCCGGCAAGGUCUACGGCCUCGACGUCGCCUACAAGGGAGACUGGAUAAAGGUUGAGCCCGUGCCUGGCGCCUUCAUCGUCAACUUCGGCCAGCAACUCGAGGUGAUCUCUCUCUCUCUCCCCCUCCCCCUCCCUCUCUCCCUCACCCCUCUCCCUCUCUCCCUCAACCCCCCCCCCCCCCCCCCCCCCCCCCCCCCCCCGCUCUCGGUUGCAUCAUCAAAGAUCUAUCAUCCGAUUAUUAAGCACGUUGGUCUCUCUCGGCGCAGGUGGUGACCAAUGGAUUGCUCAAGAGCAUCGAGCACCGCGUGGUGACCAGCUCCACGCUGCCGCGGACGGCGGUGGCAACUUUCAUCAUGCCCACACCGGACUGCCUCAUCGGCCCUGCAAAGGAGUUCAUCACCGAGGACAAACCACCGUGCUACCGCACCGUCAAGUUCCGCGACUUCAUGCGCAUCUACAAUGUCGUCAAAUUGGGGUCGUCCAUCAAUCUCACCACAGAUCUCAAGAAUGUCCAGAAGG